UACGAAGGGGGCCAGCGUUGCUCGGAAUCACUGGGCGUAAAGCGCACGUAGGCGGAUCCUUAAGUCGGGGGUGAAAUCCUGGAGCUCAACUCCAGAACUGCCUUCGAUACUGAGGAUCUCGAGUCCGGGAGAGGUGAGUGGAACUGCGAGUGUAGAGGUGAAAUUCGUAGAUAUUCGCAAGAACACCAGUGGCGAAGGCGGCUCACUGGCCCGGUACUGACGCUGAGGUGCGAAAGCGUGGGGAGCAAACAGG
rnacentral:rRNA from 1 species